rnacentral:rRNA from 1 species
AUGCUCUCGAAGCAAUGCUGGAGGUUACUAAACAACCCGGACUCAUUAUGUGCAAGAGUAUUGAAGGCGAAAUAUUUCCCUAAUGGUAGUUCACUACAGGCUACUUUAAAAAAUGGUGCCUCAUUUACCUGGCAGAGUAUAAUGAAGGGCUUGGAGACUUUCAAAUUGGGGUAUAUAUGGCGUAUUUGGUCAGGGGAGAAAGUGAAUAUCUGGAGGGAACCCUGGGUUCCAAGCAGUGCAAAUAGAAGGGUGAUUACGCCGCGGGGUCACACUAUUCUGACUACAGUUAAUGAUCUCAUAGACCCCAUAAGUGGAAGCUGGGACGAGGAACUGAUUAGAUCAAUCUUCAAUCAUGUCGAUGUUCGAAGGAUCCUAGAGAUUCCGCUGAAUUACAAUGCUUUUGAGGAUUUCAUAGCUUGGCACCCGGACCGAAGAGGUAUUUUCUCAGUACGUUCAGCUUACCACACUCAAUGGAUUCGGACUUUUAGGGCACAUGCAAAUGCACUAAUGCAGCCAGGGAGGUCCGGUACACCACCGGUUUGGAGUAUGCUAUGGAAACUUCAAAUUCCACGUAAAGUUCAAGUUUUCUGUUGA